rnacentral:rRNA from 1 species
AGUGAACGCUGGCGGUAGGCCUAACACAUGCAAGUCGAACGGCAGCACAGUAAGAGCUUGCUCUUACGGGUGGCGAGUGGCGGACGGGUGAGGAAUACAUCGGAAUCUACUUUUUCGUGGGGGAUAACGUAGGGAAACUUACGCUAAUACCGCAUACGACCUACGGUUGAAAGCAGGGUAUCUUCGGACCUUGCGCGAUUGAAUGAGCCGAUGGCGGAUUAGCUAGUUGGUGGGGUAAGGGCCCACCAAGACGGCGAUCCGUAGCUGGUCUGAGAGGAUGAUCAGCGACAAUGGAACUGAGACACGGUCGAGACUCCUACGGGAGGCAGCAGUGGGGAAUAUUGGACAAUGGGCGCAAGCCGGAUGCAGCAAUACCGCGUGGGUGAAGAAGGCCGUCGGGUUGUAAGGAACUUUUGUUGGGAAAGAAAAGCAGCAGGUUAAUACCCCGCUGGGCUGACGGUACCAAAAUAAUAAGCACCGGCUAACUUCGUG